UACGAAGGGGGGCUAGCGUUGUUCGGAUUUACUGGGCGUAAAGCGCACGUAGGCGGUUUGUUAAGUCAGGGGUGAAAUCCCAGAGCUCAACUCUGGAACUGCCUUUGAUACUGGCAAGCUAGAGUCCGGAAGAGGUAAGUGGAACUCCUAGUGUAGAGGUGAAAUUCGCAGAUAUUGGGAAGAACACCGGUGGCGAAGGCGACCAACUGGUCCGACAUUGACACUGAGGCACGAAAGCGUGGGUAGCAAACAGG
rnacentral:rRNA from 1 species